rnacentral:rRNA from 1 species
CCUACGGGAGGCAGCAGUAGGGAAUAUUGCUCAAUGGGGGAAACCCUGAAGCAGCAACGCCGCGUGGCGGAUGAAGGUUUUCGGAUUGUAAACUCCUUUUGUUAGAGAAGAUAAUGACGGUAUCUAACGAAUAAGCACCGGCUAACUCCGUGCCAGCAGCCGCGGUAAUACGGAGGGUGCAAGCGUUACUCGGAAUCACUGGGCGGAAAGAGCGCGUAGGCGGGAUAGCAAGUCAGAUGUUAAAACCUAUGGCUUAACCAUAGAACUGCAUUUGAAACUGUUAUUCUAGAGUAUGGGAGAGGUAGGUGGAAUUCUUGGUGUAGGGGUAAAAUCCGUAGAGAUCAAGAGGAAUACUCAUUGCGAAGGCGACCUGCUAGAACAUAACUGACGCUGAUGCGCGAAAGCGUGGGGAGCAAACAGGAUUAGAUACCCCAGUAGUC